rnacentral:rRNA from 1 species
CAGGCGAUUGAACAUGGCGGCAGGCUAACAUUACCAAGUCAGACGGUAACAGGAAGAAGCUGCUUCUUUGCCGACGAGUGGGACGGGUGAGUAACGUCUGGGAAACUGCCUGAUGGAGGGAUAACUACCUGGAAACGGUAGCUAAUACCGCAUAACGUCGCAAGAAAGAGGGAGGACCUUCGGCCUCUGCCAUCUGUGCCCAGAUGGGAUUAGCUAGUAGGUGGGGUAACGGCUCAUCUAUAGGCGACGAUCCUGGCUGGUCUGGGGAUGACCAGCCACACUGGAACCUGAGACACGGUCCAGACUCAGGGAGGCAAGCAGUGGGGAAUAUUGCGACAUGGCGCAAAGCCUGAUGCAGCCAUGCCGCGUGUGCAUGAAGAAGGCCUUCGGGUUGUAAAGUACUUUCAGCGGGGAGGAAAGAAGGAUUAAUACCUUUGCUCAUUGACGUUACUCGCAGAAGAAGCACCAGCUAACUCCGUGCCAGCAGCCGCGGUAAUACGGAGGGUGCAGCGUUAAUCGAAUUACUGGGCGUAAGCGCACGCAGCGUUUAAAGUCAGAUGUGAAAUCCCCGGGCUCAACCUGGGAACCGCAUCUGAUACUGCCGGCAAGCUUGAGUCUCGUAGAGGGGGUAGAAUUCCAGGUGUAGCGGUGAAAUGCGUAGAAUCUGGAGGAAUGCACCGGUGGCGAAGCCCCUGGACGAAGACUGACGCUCGCAGGUGCAAGCGUGGGGAGUAAACAGGAUUAGAUACCCUGGUAGUCCACGCCGUAAACGAUGUCGACUUGAAGGUUGUGCCUUGAGGCGUGGCUUCCGGGCUAACGCGUUAAUGACCUGCCGGGGGUAGGCCGCAAGGUUAAAACUCAAAUGAAUUGACGGGGCCCGCACAAGCGGUGGACGUGGUUUAAUUCGAUGCAACGCGAAGAACCCACCUGGUCUUGACAUCCAGAACUUUUCCAGAGAUGGAUUGCCUUGGGAACUGUGAGACAGGUGCUGCAUGGCUGUCGUCAGCUCGUGUUGUGAAAUGUUGGGUAAGUCCCGCAACGAGCGCAACCCUUAUCUUUUGUUUGCCACGGUCCGGCCGGGAACUCAAAAGGAGACGCCAGUGAUAAACUGGAGAAGGUGGGGAUGACGUCAAGUCAUGUCAUGGCCCCGCGACCAGGGCUGACGUGCUGCAAUGGCGCACAAGAGAAGCGACCUCGCGAGAGCAAGCGGACCUCAUAAAGUGCGUCGUAGUCCGGAUUGGAGUCUGCAACUCGACUCCCAUGAAGCCGGAAUCGCCAGUAAUCGUGGAUCAGAAUGCCACGGUGAAUACGUUCCCGGGCCUCCGCACCGCCGUCAUCAUGGGAGUUUAAAAAGUAGGCAUAACCUUCAGGAGGGCGCUUACCACUUUGUGAUUCAUGACUGGGGUGAAGUCGUAACAAGGUAACCGUGAGACCUGCGGUUG